CCAGACUCCUACGGGAGGCAGCAGUGGGGGAUAUUGCACAAUGGGGGGAACCCUGACGCAGCGACGCCGCGUGGGUGAAGAAGCGCCUCGGCGCGUAAAGCCCUAUCGGCAGGGAAGAAGGAGGACGGUACCUGACUAAGAAGCCCCGGCUAACUACGUGCCAGCAGCCGCGGUAAUACGUAGGGGGCAAGCGUUAUCCGGAUUUACUGGGUGUAAAGGGAGCGUAGACGGCAGUGCAAGUCCGGAGUGAAAGCCCGGGGCUCAACCCUGGGACUGCUCUGGAAACUGUAAAGCUGGAGUGCGGGAGGGGCAGGCGGAAUUCCUAGUGUAGCGGUGAAAUGCGUAGAUAUUAGGAGGAACACCGGUGGCGAAGGCGGCCUGCUGGACUGUAACUGACGUUGAGGCUCGAAAGCGUGGGGAGCAAACAGGAUUAGAUACCCUCGUAU
rnacentral:rRNA from 1 species